rnacentral:rRNA from 1 species
UAGGGAAUCUUCCGCAAUGGGCGAAAGCCUGACGGAGCAACGCCGCGUGAGUGAAGAAGGUCUUCGGAUCGUAAAACUCUGUUAUUAGGGAAGAACAAAUGUGUAAGUAACUAUGCACGUCUUGACGGUACCUAAUCAGAAAGCCACGGCUAACUACGUGCCAGCAGCCGCGGUAAUACGUAGGUGGCAAGCGUUAUCCGGAAUUAUUGGGCGUAAAGCGCGCGUAGGCGGUUUUUUAAGUCUGAUGUGAAAGCCCACGGCUCAACCGUGGAGGGUCAUUGGAAACUGGAAAACUUGAGUGCAGAAGAGGAAAGUGGAAUUCCAUGUGUAGCGGUGAAAUGCGCAGAGAUAUGGAGGAACACCAGUGGCGAAGGCGACUUUCUGGUCUGUAACUGACGCUGAUGUGCGAAAGCAUGGGGAUCAAACAGG